UCUAAGUCCUUUGAACCGGGGUUCAAAUCCCCUUACUAACU
rnacentral:tRNA from 2 species